UACGUAGGGUCCGAGCGUUGUCCGGAUUUAUUGGGCGUAAAGAGCUCGUAGGCGGUUCCGUAAGUCAGAUGUGAAAACUCAGGGCUCAACCCGGAGACGCCAUCUGAUACUGCGGUGACUGGAGUCUGGUAGGGGAACACGGAAUUCCUGGUGUAGCGGUGAAAUGCGCAGAUAUCAGGAGGAACACCGAUGGCGAAGGCAGUGUUCUGGGCCAGUACUG
rnacentral:rRNA from 1 species